GGGACCAUGGGCGGCGCCAGCGACGAGUCGCGCGCCCGCUUCACCGCGGCCUUCUUCAACGGCAACUCCACCUGCGAGACAAUGACAAAACACAUCUUAGUGAACGCUCGUUGGCGGUCGUCGACCUGAUGGCCGGUGUGGGCGCGGUGGCCGCGUGGUGGCGAAAGUCGGGGCUCCAUGCACCGAGUCGACGAGUCACGGCACUCGGUUGCGACCAGUGACCGCUAAACACUACGUCGGUUGUAUGUUGUGUUGUUCGGUUGCGGAACAUCUGCUAUUGUUUUGCAAAUUUUCGCGUCUUCUUUAUAGGUAUCACAUAAAUGCAAUACGCAAUUACACACUGAUUCUAUUUAACAUAAUACAUAACUGAUGCAUCAUACAACAUGUAUAAUACAAUAUGAUGAUCACUGUCGAUUGACCCCAGCCUCAAGUACGCACAUACAGGAAACCGCUUGAUAUCAAUACACAUUAGUCAACAAGCCGGAUUGCGCCGGACUGCGCGCAGAGCAUGCUAAUUACAGAAGUACAUAAUCUAAUUAUAGGCGAGGUCAUUUAAUUUCACAAGCCGAUUGUUCAGAAAGAUUACUAAUUCUUCCGUAUUAUGAUAUAGUUUUAUAUAGGAAAUUACCUACAAAUGAACAUCUUCUAUGAAUGACAAUCAUCUAGCGACAUUUGUCUGUCAUUUGCAGGUAAGUGGUCACCAUCAUCUAUAAACUCCUAUAUAAAGGGAUCGUGAAAGCUCACAGGAGGCGCAAGAAACCCAAGGAGAAGGAGUCUACAUGACUUACAAUAUACUAAACAUGACUAAUAUCGAAAAAUAAUGAACAUAACACUGUUUACUCUUAACUUAAAACGAAUUUAUUGCUUGUUAUAGAUAUUGCUAAUAAAAAAAACUUGUUUUUCUUCCGACUUACAGCGAACCUGGGACUACGUGAUCGACAUUCUACAACGAAGCGACCAUUACAACAAAAGUAACGGUAGCCUCGAGCAAAAAACUUUGUAGUAGACUUUGUGUGUUUUGUAUGAGAAUGUGUGUGUGCCUGCGCAGACGCAUCGAGUGUGGCGUUGUGAAAGUGAUUCACGCGCCCGCUGCGUGAUCAGGGAUUAAGAUAUAAAAGAUGGCGGGGACACGAUCGGUAGCAGGGUCAGUGCUUACUGCGUAUUAUGGAUGACCCACUUUAACGUUUUCGCCACCUGUUGACCUUCAGAAACGAUUUAGGUCUACAAGGGGAAGUUUAAUUGAGUCUUGUACAGUGUUCUUGUGUGAGACGUUAUCCACCAACUGCAUUUUAUGGGUAUUAUAAUUGAUAGAGGCUAUAAUGCUUAAAAAAAAUUUUUUUUCAGGUGGUGUAUUUUUAACGUAAAACUUGUUUUUUGUAUGUCGUUCCAAGAUGGCUGACCUUCUCUUCGUUACUUUAUUUUUAUAAUAAAAAAAUGCAAAACGUAA